AUUGAACGCUGGCGGCAUGCUUUACACAUGCAAGUCGAACGGCAGCACGAGUGCUUGCACUUGGUGGCGAGUGGCGAACGGGUGAGUAAUACAUGGGAACGUGUCCUAAAGAGGGGGAUAACGCAUCGAAAGAUGUGCUAAUACCGCAUAAUCUCUUUGGAGAAAAGUAGGGGAUCGAAAGACCUUACGCUUUUGGAGCGGCCGAUGUCUGAUUAGCUAGUUGGUGAGGUAAAGGCUUACCAAGGCAACGAUCAGUAGUUGGUCUGAGAGGAUGGCCAAGAAAGCAGAGGCUGGGAACGGGCAAAGACUCCUAAGGCAGGGAGCAGUGAGGAAGUUUGGAAAAUGGGGAAAUCCCUGUUCCAGCAAUGCCGCGUGAGUGAAGAAGGCCUUCGGGUUGUAAAGCUCUUUCAGUUUGGAAGAAAAGGCUAUGACUAAUACCUUACUUCAUUGACGUUACUCGCAGAAGAAGCACCGGCUAACUCCGUGCAAGCAGCCGCCGUAAAAC
rnacentral:rRNA from 1 species